AAAGCCACAGCCGGCUGGUCUGGUUUGCGUCGGGGGGAGGAAUCAGCAUUGGCUGGCAGGGAAAGGAGCUGUGAGCUGAGCUAACUUGGUGGCAGCCCUGCCCCGGGGGGGCCUCAGAGGCACCGGGAUCAUCGGGGCCAGUCCUCUGUCUCCGUCCAGGUGAAGUCCGGAGCAGGAUUCUGAGGCUUUCUGUCCUCCAUGCUGCUCACCAGAAAAGGGACUGUGAACUGUGCUUUGACGCUAGCUGACAGGAAGAAUUUCUGGCCCAGCUGGGAGUGAGAAGAGGGAGUGAGUCUCCUGAGAGCCAUCCUCGAGUCCGCCAGGAUCACCCGAACAGUAAGAAAUGCUCCUCCAUCCUUAAACACAGAGUGAAACCCUCCAGGCAGACGAUCUUUUCUUCUGAAAACCUCGAGAAGCAGCCAUCACAUUAGCUGGCACUUAGCGUAUACAAGCUGGGAACCCCCAGUACUGUGUUAUUUUUCUCAUGUCCUUCCUCCUCAGCUCCUUGAGGACAGGGCCAGAGCUGUGCCUCAUC